rnacentral:rRNA from 1 species
UACGUAGGUGGCAAGCGUUGUCCGGAAUUAUUGGGCGUAAAGCGCGCGCAGGCGGUCCUUUAAGUCUGAUGUGAAAGCCCUCGGCUCAACCGGGGAAGUGCACCCGAAACUGCAAAGCUAGAGUCUCGGAGAGGAUCGUGGAAUUCUCGGUGUAGAGGUGAAAUUCGUAGAUAUCGAGAGGAACACCGGUGGCGAAGGCGGCGACCUGGACGAUGACUGACGCUGAGGAGCGAAAGCCAGGGGAGCAAACGGG